AGUACUUUUUUUUUUUUUUUUUUUUUUUUUUUUUUUUUUUUUUUCCUUGUUCAU
rnacentral:ribozyme from 1 species